rnacentral:rRNA from 1 species
UAAAUAAACACGGGUGGGAGGUUGGACCCAAAGGGCCCUCACUCGGUAAUGAUCCUUCCGUAGGUGAACCUGCGGAAGGAUCAUUA